UGCUAUGAUGAUGAGAUCGAUAAUCUCGUUAAUCUGAUGAAUAAAUCAUUCAUGAGGAUAGCUUUUCUCAUCCAUUCAAUAUUCCUUCUGAGC
rfam:Vigna angularis cultivar Jingnong 6 chromosome 3, whole genome shotgun sequence.